CCUCCACUUACGGCGCCGGAGCCGCCCCGCGCGGCGCGCCUCGCCUCGCUCCGCCCGCCCCGAGCGCCUCCCGGCCCCAGACACGCUUCCGGCCCCUCCCCGCGCGGGCGCCCCGAGCGCUGCGGACCCGCCUGCAGUUAUGCCAUCUGGCUCAUAUAACCAGAAGAAACUUGGCACCCAUGUUCAACUAGAAUGACCGUCAAUUCACAAAACAUCCUUAUUUUCUCUUGGCUAAGAACAAAGUGACAACUGAUCUCAAUGUGACCUUUGCCAGAGUAGAGAAGAAAGUUCACAGGAGAGAAAUGUCACAGAGGCGGUGGCAUUUGAGAGGAUCCUCAAUUGACUGAACUGCCAGACCACGUGUUGAUGCACUCCUAGAGCCCUGAGCCACCAUUUAAGUCCAGCUGUCCUGAGGCCACCAUGUUGUGAGGAAGCCAAAGCUAACCACCUGGAGAGAUGCUGUGGAGAAUCAUGCCCAAACAGCACCCAGCUCUCCUUGCCAUCCUGGCCCAGGCAGCUAACCUGUGAGUGAAGAAUCCUUCACAUGAUGCUGAUCUCAGAAGCUAUCUGACUACAACUGUGUGGGUGACCCCAAUGAGAAUUUCUCAGGGCAGGCCAAGCAGUAUCAGAUACCCCACCCGUUGUUUCUGGGCUUAAGACCUGGCCUGAGGACAGAAAUCUGACUACUCUGAGACCACUGUGCUGUGAGGGAUAGCAACCAGUCCCAGACGUCCCGGCAGGCCAGGCACCUGACUCAAGUGAGGAAGCUGCAGGGCCCUCCGGCCUCAGGAGUCACGAAGUGCAGAGGCUCGGGGAGCCCAGCUGACAGCCAGAACUGCUGCUCCAGACCUAGGGCCCCAGAGGGGCCAAGGUCCUAGCAACCCCACCACCACCACCACCACCACCACCACCACCACCAAAUGCAAUCUAAAUCGUUCGUUUUUUUUUUUGUCGUUCUUUUUUCAACUGCACUUUCUCUACAAACACGUCUCUUAAGAUAAAUUUCCUGGUCCCUACAUCUUCCCAGUUUGCUACCCUAAUCCCUUCUGAUAGGAAAAUUCUAGAGGCAGUGCAAGAUGGACUCCAUGCUGUGAGGAUAAAAAUGGAUUUGUCUCCACUCUAGGGCAAGAGAGUCAUCAUGAGGAAGAGAUCGUGCCCUAAAAUCUAUGAGCUCUGUUUCUAGGGGACAAACUUGGUUACAAAGACUUCUUUAAACUUUUCCCUGCUGUCAAGUUUAAUGAGACGACUCCUCCUACAGUGUUUCUAAUAUCAGCUUGAUUUCAGGAGGCUGCUGUCAAAAAGGCUACCAGAAGACACUGAGGGGAACACUUUAAAUCAUUGCAAGAAAAAGUUUCAACUUCAGUAAGCCAACUUGGCCAAGGAUUCCAUUUUUCUUUUCAAGGAUUCCAUUUUAAGAGUAAAACUGACACAUCCAAAAUGGACACAUCUUAAAAGCAACAAGAUAUCACACAAGUGAAACAAUAGAAAUAGCAAGGCAUGGAAUUUGGGGGUGGUGGUAAAGAGCAUCAGUAGGAUUGGGGAAAAACAACUGAAAGCAUUUAAUGUAUUUAUUUCUACUCUGCCUAGUUCUAAAGUGGAUUUGGCAGGGAUUUUAUUUCCGGGGCAAGUGUGGAGGGCAGCUCUUUCCUGAAACUAGUUAAGUGCAGAUUAAAUGAGGUUAUGGCCUUGGGAUCUGGGAGUCAAGCUGGCAUCUGCUAUAGAAAACCGGGAGUCUGAAUAGCUGUGGGCUAAGAUUUUACAUUUCCUAUAGCACUUAGACAAAUGCAACUGGAAGCAAACAGACCAUUAAGUGGCAAAGAAGUCUCCAGAAAGGCAAAAACAAAGUCCUGGGCUCUUAAAACCACAGGCCCUUCCUAGAAUUUGUCCUAGAAAGUGCCUUGCUGUUUGUGGAGUUGUAAUCAACAGUGGACGUUUGGGGCCAGCACUGACUUGUCCAAUGAACACUAACUGUCCUAACAGUAUGGUGAACUAACAUCUUUUAAAAUUUUUUUUCAGAGCAUCAUUUCAAAUAAAUUAACAUUCUCAAGUGGCUCACCAGGCAGAAAGAAACCUGCAUGCUGUGAGAAGAGAGAAGGUAGGAGAAUAGUUUAGAGGGUGUAGAGGCCCCACUAAUGGGGCCCCUGAGUGUCUCUGAAAGAGACAGAUGGGAAAGGCACUGGAUACUUUACUUAAAUAUGAAUACCAGCGCUAUCAAAUGCUCCACUUCACUAAAAAAUGCUGAUUAUAAUUUUCUAAAGUCAGGAAUGAAAAAGUCAGAUUGUUCCACAUCAAAUCAGAUACAGUAAUAAUUCUUAACAUUUUUGUUCACAUAUGCUAUUGAGAACAUGGUGAUAAGGGUAGACUCUCUGCCCAGAAAAAAAAAAAUGUAUUACACACAAAAUCCUAUUCUAUUCUAUACGACUAGUUAGGAUACUUGAGGUGGAAUCCAGUCAGUCACAACACACUUAUAAUAUAUAAUCCUAAUCACCUGACUGCCAUAAAAUCUUUCUUGCAUUUAAGCUAGUCUUAUUCUAUAGUUUAAGCCUCUCUCCACUUUUUCUGUCUUCUUAGC